rnacentral:rRNA from 1 species
GACGAACGCUGGCGGCGUGCUUAACACAUGCAAGUCGAACGAAGUGGCGAACGGGUGAGUAAUACGUGGGUAACCUGCCCUCCUUUUUGGGAUAAGCCUUGGAAACGGGGUCUAAUACCGAAUAACGGGGGCUGGGCUCGCGGCCUAUCAGCUUGUUGGGGGGGUGAUGGCCUACCAAGGCGGUGACGGGUAGCCGGCCUGAGAGGGUGACCGGCCACAUUGGGACUGAGAUACGGCCCAGACUCGUACGGGAGGGAGCAGUGGGGGAGAUGGCGCAAUGGGCGUAAGCCUGAUGCAGCGACGCCGCGUGGGGGAUGAAGGCUUUCGGGUUGUAAACCUCUUUCGCUAUCGAUCGGUUAGGUGGAGAAGAAGCGCCGGCUAACUACGUGCCAGCAGCCGCGGUAAUAC